GACAUGUACGUGGUACGGAUCAGAAGGUGAGGACGGUACCUUCGGGUACCGAGCGUACACAGGUGCUGCAUGGCUGUCGUCAGCUCGUGUCGUGAGAUGUUGGGUUAAGUCCCGCAACGAACGCAACCCCUACGCUGAGUUACCAGCACGUAAAGGUGGGGACUCUCAGUGGACUGCCGGCGACAAGCCGGAGGAGGGUGGGGACGACGUCAAGUCAUCAUGGCCCUCAUGUCCAGGGCGACACACGUGCUACAAUGGCCGGCACAACGGGAAGCGACGGCGCGAGUCGUAGCGGAUCCCUCAAAGCCGGUCCCAGUUCGGAUUGCAGUCUGCAACUCGACUGCAUGAAGCCGGAAUCGCUAGUAAUCGUGGAUCAGCCAAGCCGCGGUGAAUACGUUCCCGGGCCUU
rnacentral:rRNA from 1 species